CUGGCCUCCAGAGACCCAAGAUUUGUUCCUCUUUAGCUACUCGCACUGGGAAGCCCCUCUUAAGAUUAACCCAAGUCCCUCAUACUGCAUUUUAAACGCCAGCUGCUCCCCAUCAAAUAUUUAAGGGCCUACUAUGUACACACGUGGUGCCUGGCCCUUUGGAGCCCGCUGUUCAGCAGGGACAGGUGAGCAGUUAUCACAGAGGGCAAAAAGGGCCAGGUCAAAGGCCAGGAUGCGUUUAAGCCCAUCAAGGUGGCCAGCUGCUUUCUGAACAGGGACGACUCAAAGUCUCUUCUCCUGGCCUAAGUUGAGACCUGAAGGGUAAGUGAGAGUCGUUGGGGAUGAGGUGGGAGUCAGGUGCAGUGAUGGGAGAGGCUGUAGAGGACUCCAGGGCUGGGAGAUCAGCACAGGCAGACUUGGAAGCAGUGAAUGUUCUUCGGUAUGGCUGGGCCCUCCACGGCUAGGUCAGGAUGGGGAGAGCCCUGUCAGCCGGCAGAAGGGGGAUAGACUCAGAGAAGGCAGGGGAAAACCUGGAAGGGCUUGGCUGCGGGCACGAGGCGGGUUGGGUGCUGCGGAUUAGAAAGUUGGUUGAGAAGGACUCACACCCUCUUUCGCCCUGCCCUUGGCCACACAUUCAGUGAUGUUUAUCGGAACCCAGCAGUCACCCUGCCCUUUCCUCAGCAGUCCAAUCUCCCAGCUUUCCGCCGACUUUAAAUCACAUUCGCCCCAAACAAUAGGCCCGAGAACAAAACUCCUGUGACUGCCGCUCUCCGUCAAAAAGCGGUCACUGUGAGAACGUGUUUUCCGUGGAUUUUGCCAGAGUUUAGCGGCGCUUGUCAGUGAAAAGCAAGUCUGAGAGAUUGGGGAGAGCACGGGGGCCACUCCAGCGUCUCAGUUACUCUUCUGGCCGAGUGAAGACCCAGGAGACCUGCCCCACCAGCACGGUGUAGAAAACUCACUUUUUCUUCACACACUUGACAGGCAGGGAGUACUUUGUAUGCUCAGAAAGUCCAUCUGCAGUCAUCAUCUGGAUUUUCGUUUCUAUUCAAUCCAGUCCAUGGAUUUUUUUUUUUUUUUUUUUACCCCCGAUCAACUUUCCCAGAAGGCAGUGCUUUGCUCUGGGGAAUGGUUAGGUCAAAGUCGGAUAGCAGAGGAUUUGAAAAGUAGCCUCUCCACGUGCCCCUCCUGGCUGUGCCCUAGAUGAUGGUCCCUCAGCAGCGCUUCCUAGAAACCACUGAGACUGAAGUUAAACUACACCAUCCUCAGCUGCAGUGACCCUGAACUGGCCCUUUGUGCAAGGUCAUCCAUGAGACACCAAUGCCUCCGUGCCCUCAAUAGGUCAUUCACUCCCACUAAAUGCUUUUACAGUGGAAAUUCCCAGGUUAAGUUUCACAGGUAAAGAUGAAUAUUUUGUGUGUGUCACCCAUUGUAUGGUUGUUCAAAAUCACAGGGCCAGCAGGACUGGAAUUUUUUCAUCUUACAUAUUUUCCCACCUUUGAAGUAUUAGUGAUAGCUCCCUCGUUUUGAGACUCGAGGUUUAAAACAUUUUUAUUCUGUGUGCCAUGAAUUCCACUCCUUUGAGCAUCUGGGCUUAACGAAUCCUUAGCAUUUUUCUUUGGGGGCUUUGUUGGAAAUGAAGGAUACUCUCCACUACUUCUCUGGUUGGAAGAUAUGUGUUUUAUUCCCUUCUAAGUUAUCAGGCUAAAUCCUGUGACCUUUCUCCCUUGAAAAGCAGGCAGUGUUUCCAAAAUUUCUAACACAAUUCCUCGGGAAUGUGGAAUGGGUUUCCUUGUGGACAGUGUUGUUUAUGGGGUCUCUGUCUCCAUUCAUAGAAACCUGCAUGUCAGAGAGACAGCGUAUAUAUGAAAACAUAGGAUAAAGGUGCUAGAGAACCGAAAUGCUCUGGGUAGCAGCCCCCCAAACCUGACGGCUAAAAACAGCUCCCCUCGGCUGCAGCCCCAGCAGCAGCAAGUAAAGAUGCACUCAGUCACAAACCGACUUACUAGGGUCCUGUCUGGAGUCCAGAAGACAAGAGGAGACCUCUAAAAUUUGAUAUAAAGUGAUGAGUGUCUUGAGAGGGCCACUAAAGUGCCAUGGCAGUCCUUUCUGCUGGGACAAGCAGAGAAGGCUUCCUGGAGGUGUUACGGAACCAGGCUGGAACCAUGGUGGAAGAGGCAAGCGGCACUCGGAGAUCUUGGUGAAUUGGAGAUUUAUUUUACACCGCCGGGCUCAGAGGAGACUGUUUCUCCAAAGGACUGAGCCCAGAAUGCAAGUCGGGAGGGUAAUUUAUAGCCGACAAUGUCCAUAUCUGUGGGGGGUUUUGCCCACACAGCAAACAAAGGAAGAAGAACCCAGAGGAGGGGUCUCUAAGCUGGAAACCAGAGUUUGUUUUAGCCCCGUCGGCCAUCUUUGGCGUACUUGACUUCUCCAACAGAGGAAGUGGCAUUUGCUCUGUUUCUUGAGUGAAGAAGGUAAGAUUCUGAAUAGAGACCGUAAAGGUGAGAGCAGAUUUUUAGCCCACCCUCAGGGGGUCCCAUCGCCUGUGAUGCAGAAAAGGAGAAGCUCAGAGUGAGUAAAGCUCUAGGAAGGGAUGAGUGAUGAUGGAAGAGAACUAAGAACCUCUGGAGAUGCUAAAGCCAGAAGGAGACUGAGAUGCAUAGCAACCACCCCGAGUUACUCUUGGUGAGAAUACAAGUCUUAAGGAAAAGAGAGUGAAGAGAGGGAAAACCCCAAGCAGCAGAUACAGGAAGGAAAAGAAGUGCAGUUGACCCUUGAACAACGGGAUUAAGGGCACCUUUGCAGUCAAAAAUGUGUGUGUAACUUUGACUCCCCCAGAACUUUACGAAUAGCCUACUGUUGACGACUGGCCUUACUGAUAAUAACAUAAACAGUCGAUUGAUGUAUAUUUUGUGUGUUAUAUGGAUUCAGUAUGAUAUUCUUACAAUAAAGUAAGCUAGGGAGAAGAAGAUGAUGUUAUUAAGAAAAUCAUGAGGAAGAGAAAAUAUAUAUUACAGUUCUAUAUCAAAAAACCCCACAUAUAAGUGGACCUGACAGGUGCCAACUUCCUCUCUGAGGUGGGAAACUGCUCAAAGUCUCAGAUGAAUGAUGAGUAAGGCCACUCUGACAGAAGUGGACACCCUCCUCCAGCACUUGACCAUUUAUUCCUUCCUUUGUUGGGUAUCCAUGCUUCCCGUAGUCUAGCAAGCUCACGCAUUCCAACAGUUUUUUCGAGUGCGUUUGAAUAUUAAGCUUAUACUUGUUUCAUUGCUUUAAAAGGUGCCCUUUUAAAAAGCAGGAUCCCAGUCACUAACACAGGAAUGAACAUUUUUAUGGACCUGUACCUUAAUUAGGGGAGAGCAUCGAAGUCAUUUUAAAUGGACUUAAUCUCAUCCUAAGCCUGGCCAACAUUCCAUUCCUAAGGGUUUACAUCAAGGAAGUCAUCCAAAAGGGGGAAAAAGUUUUUCCCAUGCUGGUUUGAGAACAUGGAAAAAUGAGUUGAUUUUGGAGAUCAAUGACACUUUGGUGAUUUACUUCUGCUAAUGAAUGGUAAUGUGUUGGAGGGGACAAUCCAAGCAGUGAUCAGGGUAGAGAAGACAUUACACAUAAGUAAAAGCCUCUCGCUUUUCCUGUCUUUCUUUUUUUCCCAUUAGGCCCUGAACACAUCUCCAUCACCACUCUUAAUGUUCUGGGGGUAAUAACUAUCUAGUAUUAUAAUGGAUGGUGCGGGGGAGGGGCUGGCGCAUAGUAGGCACUUGAUGAAUAUUGUGACAUCCCUUCCAGUGCAAGGCUCUCUGGUUACAGUUUACCAACCCCAGGGUAACUGAUGUACGUACUGAAACAGCAAAAGGAGCUAAGGAAGCAAAAUAAAGCAGCACUUUCAACUAUUUCUAUUUUACAAAGUGCUUGGUGAAACUGUAAAAGGAUAUUUAGUACCACAAAAAGUAGGCCAAGGGUAAGAAAAACUCUCCAUACCCAGGAGGAUUCAGCUGACCAAAUUAAGUCUGAUCCAGAAUAAACAGUUCUCAUCUGGAAAUCUAGCAGUUCCAGAAAGUACUGUCCAAGUGGAAAAAGGCCCAUGAUGCUGGUCUGCAUAAUUAUGUAACCCUUUAGGAAAGGGGAAGGAAGUGCCACCAUCCUGGGGUACAUGGGGAAAAGCAACCAUGAGAAAAUAAUAGUACUCAGGCCUCACAGAAGGGGAUUGUGCUACUAGAGAAACCAGGCCCACAAGCCCUUUCUCAUGAACUUGACCAACUUUGGUCAUUUUUCCCUGUGCCUACCCGGUGUCCAAAACCUAAAACAGGGUUCCUAUUAUCCAAUCCGUCCAACAGAAAUAACUGUCAAAUAGGCACGUGAAUAGCACUGCACGUGAAGGAACCCGUCUGAAAUGAGACACGAGCUCAGCUGCAACGGUCAAGACCAGUCACGUCUGUGCUUUCUCUGGAAAAGCAUGAUCAUCGCCCCUUUGAAGAUCACUUAAAAACAUCAAACAAACUAGAUCCCAGAUGAUGUUAUACCAACCUUUCAUUCCUGGGAUAAAACCUCCUUGGCCAAAUCCUUUUUAUAUGUUGAGGAACUUGACCACCUGCUAUAUAGAUGUCAUUAUCAGGAGUUACAACAGUCCCAACCUUCUGCAAAUCAGCUGGUGGGCUGCACAGCUUGUAAACUUUUUCUGCUUGGGGGCUGUAACAGACAGAAGAGUAAAGACUACAAGGAUUUUCUGAAGAUGCCUCAAUGAAAAUCAUCAUCUCCUCUUUAGUCAUUCCAAGUCUUGGUUUGAAAAACUUGGGCAUAGACUUAUACAGACCUUGAACCACUACAGACUUGUCAUUGGGUGGGAGGCCUUGGAACCAAGCUCUCUGCGUUACUUCUGAAAGUGCAUCAAUUCUGAUUUGGCUAAGAACUGAAGACAAAUACUGGGAUCGUGAUUCUGUGUUGUACUCUAGCCACAGCAUAGCAGCUUCGCGAACUGUCUCCUCCUUUUCAA